rnacentral:tRNA from 1 species
GGGUCCUUAGCUCAGUUGGUUAGAGCGCUACCUUGACAUGGUAGAGGUCACAGGUUCGAGCCCUGUAGGACCCA